rnacentral:rRNA from 1 species
AUUGAACGCUGGCGGCAUGCCUUACACAUGCAAGUCGAACGGUAACGCGGGGCAACCUGGCGACGAGUGGCGAACGGGUGAGUAAUGUAUCGGAACGUGCCCAGUUGUGGGGGAUAACUGCUCGAAAGAGCAGCUAAUACCGCAUACGACCUGAGGGUGAAAGCGGGGGAUCGCAAGACCUCGCGCAAUUGGAGCGGCCGAUAUCAGAUUAGGUAGUUGGUGGGGUAAAGGCCCACCAAGCCAACGAUCUGUAGCUGGUCUGAGAGGACGACCAGCCACACUGGGACUGAGACACGGCCCAGACUCCUACGGGAGGCAGCAGUGGGGAAUUUUGGACAAUGGACGCAAGUCUGAUCCAGCCAUGCCGCGUGCGGGAAGAAGGCCUUCGGGUUGUAAACCGCUUUUGUCAGGGAAGAAACGGCUUUCUCUAAUACAGAGGGCUAAUGACGGUACCUGAAGAAUAAGCACCGGCUAACUACGUGCCAGCAGCCGCCGCUGUAA